rnacentral:piRNA from 1 species
UCUUUCUAGAGGCGCCAGAGUUGGGCAGGAU